AGUAAAUAGAUACCCGGGUAGUCCACGCCGUAAACGAUGAGUACUAGGUGUAGGAGGUAUCGACUCCUUCGUGUGCCGCAGUUAAACACAAUAAGUACUCCGCCUGGGAAGUACGGUCGCAAGAUUAAAACUCAAAGGAAUUGACGGGGGCCCGCACAAGCAGCGGAGCAUGUGGUUUAAAUUCGAAGCAACGCGAAGAACCUUACCUAGACUUGACAUCUCCUGAAUAGUGUAGAGAUACAUGAAGCCCUUCGGGGCAGGAAGACAGGUGGUGCAUGGUUGUCGUCAGCUCGUGUCGUGAGAUGUUGGGUUAAGUCCCGCAACGAGCGCAACCCUUAUUACUAGUUGCUACCAUUAAGUUGAGCACUCUAGUGAGACUGCCCGGGUUAACCGGGAGG
rnacentral:rRNA from 1 species